rnacentral:lncRNA from 10 species
UAUAAUGUAAAUAUUCAAAAUUGGUAACGAUUAAACUUGAUAACUUACAUGAAGUGCUUAUGACAAUGCCUGAUAGAAAAUAUGCGAUAAAUUUUCGUUUCCUUCUGUCUUGAAACAAUGUCAUGAUUGUUUAAUUCGUUCUGUAAAGAAGGAGGCAGCAGGCUGGCUCCUGGGAUUGGUGGCUUACACCUGUAAUCCCAGCACUUUAGGAGGCCAAGACGUGUGGAUCAUCUGAGGUCAGGAGUUUGAGACCAGUCUGGCCAACAUGGUGAAAUCCCAUCUCUACUAAAAAUACAAAAACAGCCAGCUGUGGUGGCAGGUGCCUGUAAUCCCAACUACUAGGGAGGCUGAGGCAGGAGGAUCACUUGAACCUGGGAGGUGGAGGCAAGAUCACACCAUUGCACUCCAGCCUGGGCAACAGAGUAAGACCCUGUCUCAAAAAAAAGAGUGAGGCAGCAAUGUACAACCAAAGAUAAUACAUCAUUUCAUGAAGAUAAUUCCAAUGUUAGAUUAGGAAGCUACCAUGUCCAGCCUGCUGCAUCAUUCUUUACAGAACGAAUGAAAGAGUCAUGAUGUUAUUCUUAAUAAUGUAGAACUAUUUGUGAAAUGUGGAUGCAGUGAACGUUGAUGCAGACAAUACAAUGCCCCUAAACUCAUUUUACUAAGAUUCCCAAAUUUACUCAUGCUUUAGCACAAGAAUUUUACAUUUCAGUUAAGAAAGGUGAAAGAAACUUCUUUAAUCUGUAAUGGAAGACCUUGUAGCAGAACAAAAUUGCUACCAAGAAAGUUGAAAAGUAGAUAUAUAUAAGAAAAAUGUUUUUGUGACCUGGAUUCACAAAGUCUGGGAUAAUGUUCUUGCUCAACAACUAUUUAAAUUGGGAUUCCCUGAAAGCAGAGCCUGAGACAAAGAUUUGGAUACAAGUAGUUUAUUUGGGAGGUGAUUCCAGGGAGCAUAAACAAGGGUGUGGUCAAAUGAAAUAGAACAGGGAGGAAAGCCAAAAAGUACCUAAUGAGUGGGGGUACACUCAUAGACAACUGAGGCUCCAACCUACUGAAACCUCUGAGAGCCCCACAUCAGAAUUUUCCUCUCAGGUGGCAGGAGACCAAGAGUAGGUAUAUAUCCACCAACCCCAGGUCCUUGUUGCUUGAGGGUUGCUUCUGUGGUAUUGAUUCCACCUGUUGUACUAUGAUCCUUCCACGUGUGCUUUAAUCCCCAGCUCCUCAUUUCUUCUCUAGAGCUAGGUUGAUUACCUUCCUCUUUUUCACUAUUGACUUCACCCUUUCCUUCCACAGUUGUUUCCCCUUUUUACUCUAUGAACAAGCCCAAGUCUAUUAAACCCUAGAAAAUUAAAAUCUCUCUUACUCCUGCCUCUAGUAACUUUCCUAUUUUUCUCUCCAUUUCAACUAUGCUUAUUUUUUAAGAAGACAGUCCACACUCACUGAUUCCACGGUCUCUCUUUCCAUGAACUCCUCAAUUAAAGCCAGUGACUUCUGACUCCUUUACUGCAAUUGCGGCUGCUUACAAGAUGCCACAACACUCCUCAUGGCAGUUUCUCGCUGAAUUCUCAGGCUGCUCCUUCUUCCUCAAAAGUUCUUCUUCCACAGGCUUUUAUAAAACCCAUCCCUCUUAGUUCUCUGGGCAUCCUCCAAGUUUUCCAUCUUUCCUUUAUGGAGUAUUCUUUCCUUUUUGGUCCAUUGAAUGUUAGUGUUUAACAACUCCCAAAUAUUUCAUUCCAGCUAUUACUUCUCUCUGUAACUCCAGAAGUGUUUGUCCAGUAGCCUGUUAGCUCAGACUAAAUUUAUUAUAGUCUCUUCUCUUCCUCUUCCCUCCCCUUGGGAAGAAAGGCUUGCCUUCGAAAGAAGAUAGUGAGUUGGCAAAACCAGCAUUUACUCACUUCAUUUACCCACUUCAAAAUCUUGGGAUUAUCAGAGAACAUUCCUCCUCCUCAUCCUGCAUUUCCAGUUAGUCAAUAAGUUCUGCUGAUUCUACCUUCUAAAUGGUAAAUUCUCUCCAUCAGCGCCAUUGCUGCUGUCACCUUAAUUCAUGUGUUCAUCACCUUGGCAUAAUCUACUGGUAUCUCUUAGUUGAUCAAUCUGCUCCCAGUUUCUUCCUCAUGCAGACCAUCUGCUACAGAGUAUAAAACAUUAUCUUGAUGCAAAAAAAGACCACAUUACUUCUCUACUUAAAAAGGCUUAGAAGUUCUCCAUCAAGUCAACAAUCAACAAGCUAAAAUCUGAUUUCUUUUAUGUGGUGAUCUAGCUAGUCCCAGUGUCAGUAUCCAGAAGCCGCUCAGGUGGUCCCAAUGGCUAAAGCCAUCAUGAGCCAGCCAACCUGGCAUGUGUGGGUGCUUUGAAAUCAAUGGUUAAAAUCUGAGUGUGGGAAUGGAUCCUGAGACCUUGUAGCCCUAAGUCAGUAUUGGCACAGAGCCUUCUCUGUAAACUUAAAUUAAGUGUCAACAUUUAGAAGUCACUUACUAUGAGCCAGGUACUCUCUGAACACUUCCUAUGUACUAAUUCAUGUAAUCUCCAGAGUAGCCCUUUGAGAUAUGUAUUAUUAUUUUUAAUUCCCAUUUUCCCAGUGAGGUGACUGAGACAUAAAGAGAGCAAGCAACUUGCUUAACAUCAUAUAUGCCACGAUUUGACUUGAAGUAGACUGUUCUAGAAGCAGGGUCUUAUCCAUUUGCUAUGGGCUUUGUUAGCUUUACACAGAGGCUGUGGGGUUCCCAGGCUUAGAACAUAAUUCCAGCCUGUGCAGGGAUCUAGAUGAAUCAGAGGUGAAGAGUGGAAGAAAGAAGCAGAGUGGAAGCCCAAGCCACUGAUGGCAAUCUGAACUUGGAGCGUAACAUCACCAGGAGAAUCUUUAUCUCCACAUCUUCCCAAUCCUCUAUAGUUCUGUCAUCCAACACACACACAGAUACAGACAUACACACGCACACAUAGACACACACACAAUCCAUGAGAAGCUUUCACCAGAUCAGAAGUGGAAUUAUUGCUGCAGAAGGUAAUGAUGGAUGGCCCCAGACCACAUGAGAAUGUUUUUAAAAAUGACAAAAUAUUGGGAAUAUAACAAACAAGCAAAAAAAUGGGACCCAUCUAGAGAGCCACAUGUGGUCUCUAAUUCCUCCCUGCACUGUGGGUUUGGAAUGAACACUGGCCCCUAAGAACCGAGUUAGCCAUGCCCUGUUCUUCUCUUGAAUAUAAUGGGAGGGGAUGUCAGGGAAAUGGAGAUGUCUCUUCUCACAAUAUCUGCUAAUCAGGAUUGUUCAGGGCCUUGUGCAAUUAAUUUUAGCUUUCAAAAAAGAAAUAAUUUCUCAGAACUCCAUGGUGAGGAAAUAGGUCAUACUCAUUAGCAUAGUCAUAGAGGAAGAACAGUGUUUAAUAAUAGGCCUGGCUGAAAUAGGCUAGCAGUGAAACUAGAAGGGCAAAAUUAUUCUGUUAAUGAAGAAUUAAUGAAGAUUUUCGAGUUUCCUUAGGUAACCCAAGAAGAAAGGUGUGAAAAAGGAAGGAGUGAAUGAGAUAAGAAUGGGGAGGAGGAUGUGAGGAAGGAAUACAUCAAGAUGCCAGGGAGCUGAGCAAGAGGCAGCCAGGGAGAAGUUCUGGGCUAUGGCCAAGGAUCUUUAAAGAGCAAGGAUCUUUAAAUAGUCAGUUUUAAGAUGUUUGGUGCAGCCUAAAUUCCUCUUCCUCUUCCCCUGCCUGAAUCUUCCGUAAGAAUCUACUACACAGAGAUGCCUUGUAUCUGCAGCAUUUUGAGAAGAGGGAAAGAGGCUGUUGCUUUGGGAAUGAUGCAGAGUGGAGAAAAAGAACAGCCAAAAGAGGCUAGACUUGAGAGAAAUUACAGUAAUUCAGUAAAAGCAGGAAAUAAUAGAAAAACAUUGACUCCAAAGAUCCUGGAAGGUGCCAGCAAGUGAGGUUAGGUUUCCCACUGUAGAUGUAAUGGAAACAUGGUUUCCCCACCAACUUCGAGGCUUGAGAGCAUUCAGAUAAUCCUUAAAGUCCAACUAAUUGGUUAACAGAACAGGACGUGAAAGCAGACAGCCCGUCAGACCACAGGCCUGUGCAUCAAAGGAGCGGUCCACUCCAAGCACCAUCAGCAGGGCAGCAGAGCUCUCUGCCUCUGGGAACGAGCGAGAGAUAGAAGACUUUCCCCUUAUCCUCAGAGGACUUCUCCUCUUUUACAAGCAACCUCCUGCUGUUCCCUUCUGGGGAAUGGAGCAGGGGUCGCUUCCCUUCCCACAAGACCUUUGUUCAGGGACUCAAGUGGGAGGUUGAGCAAUAAGCAAGCUUUCUUGCUUAGAGGCUCCGCACACUUCCUGUGGUUGUUUGUUCCACCCUGCAGUUAGGCAAGCAAGCUCACCGCCUGAUUCUUAUAUUGUCGGACUAAGCAGAAGCUAUUCUUAUGAUUCAUGACUAUAUUAAUAAAGCACUAUUCUAAAGCAUAUUUUGUUAAUCCUUAAACAGGCACACCAUAGGCCAGCCCUCAACCACCUCGGCCCACAUCCAAGCCCCUGUUUUGACCCACAUUUCCCCCAUUUUUUAAAUUUAAAACAGCCAUCUCAAUCAUAACUUGCUUGUGGUUUUGAUUUUCUUUCAGGAGCUGCCUUCCGCAUCUGCAGACUAAAAACAGACAACAUAAGCAGACACAAAUUAAAACAAAAUUAGCAAUGGCAGAGCUUCCCAGAGUUUUAAUCCAUUUGAUAGAAUUGAGCUCCGAGAGCCUAUCUGCAGCUCCAGCAAGCAUUUCUGCUCCAGGCAACAAAUUUAAGUGAGCCUGCGAUGCUGCAAAAAUCUGUUCUUUUAAUUUAGUUAUAUCCAGGGUUAGAUUAUCUUCUCUUCCUUGUAAGUGGCAUCAGACCUUUUCCCACUGAUGUUCAGUAACAUUAUAAGAAUAAGGAGUAAUACAAAAAGCAGAUGUAUUCCAAUCACAUUGCAUUUGCAUACGAUGCUCUAAAUGCAUAAAACGAUCUCUUAUCCAGGUGACUGUUUGCCUCAAAUCAUUAAUUUGAUUGGCCAACUUCUGAUCAAUUUUUGCCUGAGAAUUCCAUAAUCUGGUGGAAUUUUUCUGCCAGGCAUUAACAUAAUGAGCAGUUUGAAUGGAAGAAUGCAAGGCAACACCUGCCACAGCCGCGGUGGUGGUGACAGCAAUCAAGCCCAUAAUCACAGCAAUUAAAGUAAAAAUAAAUCUUAUUGUACGAUUAAGAAUCCCUUUUAAAACUCCAGUUAUUACAUGAAUAGAGGGAAAAGUCUCCCAAGGCCUAUUAAGAGUAACUGGAAUCCAAACGCCCUCUCGUGCUCGGACCAGCAAAAUGCUAUUCCUCAUAUCAAAAGUAGAAUGAAUACAAGUAAACAGAUGGCAAUUGUCACAAGUAAUGGUUUGAGAGUCAGGUAAAAUGAUAAGUUUUCCAACAACUAACAUGUAAGGAGGUUUAACACAACUUUGAAGAGAAAUAGACUGAUUAGACUGAAGAAGCAUGGUAAACAGUAGCUUAUUACCUCUUGUUCCCCAUGAUGCUUCCCCUUUCCACACUCUCAUUCCGGAGGUAGCCAUAAGCAACUUCCACAAUUCUGGAUGUUCCAGACCCAUGACUGGACUAAUUAUCUUUGGCCAGGGAGGAGCAGUACCUUUAUCUUCCCAUUUCAAUGGAUAUAGUGAUUCCAAUCUUCUAACUAAAGUGGGGGGAUUAUUGGGACUUUCUCUAUAAUCUAUCAUGAAGGAAUCCUCAGCGCACCCAGCAUUUUGUCCAGUGCAAUUUCUGGCAAAGGAUCCUUUGGGGGCCCAAUCUAUAAUUAUUCCAUAAGAAUCCUUUUGCAAAACUACUGCACCAUCUGCUACACAGUUGUCCCAAGCAAGAAUCUCUAGUUUUUCUGACCAUUUUGGAUUUCUUUUAGGACAAGCCAGUCCUUGAGAUUUGUAAUUUUUUACUUUUAAAUUUGACCGAAAAUAACCAUCCCCAUAAGUUUUUACAGUCAUGAUAGGUUGGAAAGACAUUCCACUCACUACGUGAUAACUGGGUUGGGAACGAUUAUGAGGAGGUACAUAGAUUAUCCAACUAUGUAUUUGCAAUGGUAAACAUCAAGGAGCAAUUCCUAAACAAAUUGGAGGGUAUUCAUACCAGUUACAUUCAUCAACAUACCCUCCUUCUCAGGCUGUGCAGGACAGCCAUCAUCAAUCGGCCCAGGCAUCCAAAAUACUAUCAUUUGUAUAAACUUCAAUAGGGGAAUCCAUCCAAGUAACUGGCCUAAUUAAAGGAGGAAAUGGAACAGAAGCCAGUAUGUAAAAUUUUCUUCAGUCCAGACAGCAGGGAGACUUACCGCCGCGGUAAUUACCAUCAAGGCAGCCAAGAUCAUAUUACCCGGGAUAAUUGCCAGUUGUUUCUCCUUUAGGCUGCCCUCUGCCAUUUGAGUCAGCU